UAUGAGGCAUCAGUCUGGGAAGACAAUACGAAUGGUGCCAGAGAGAAAAAAAAGAAAUGCUGAAUUAUAAAAUAGGUAUUCUGCUUGAUCUCAGCACAACCACAGUCUUUACUGGACGUGACCUUCUUGGAAAACUGCAUUGCUUUUAGAAAUAGGUUUGCACCAGAAAAUUUGAAUGCAGACUUUGGACACCACUGGUUGGCACAAUACACACCAGGGUUUUGGUUUCACCAGCUAUAGAAAUAUUGUCCAGUGACAAGUAUCCAUUUGCAUGCUAACUAUGGGUUUAUACAAGUAAAUGACAGAUUACAUGUAAACACACAUCCAUACUGAUCUGGCAGAAAGCAGUUCAUGCCAUAUUUUGCAGGCGUACUUUUGAAGGCCAGCUGAACGUAUUUUCCAUUUCCCAUCUAGCCUUAAAUAACAUAACAAAGUAAACCCCAUCUUUCUGUUUGGGUUAAGCAAUAUACCUUUGUAAUAUUAAAAAGCUUACACUGUAACUGUGUCUUUUUGUGAUGUGCAGCGGCUCCAUGCCGACAGAUGACGGGAAGGCUUCAGGAGUGCCAGUGAAUGUUCUGCUGCAGGAAAGCAGGCUGUGAAGAAUGCAUGCAGAAUCCAUAACUAUUGCCUAAGAGUAUGGAGAGCCUAACAGGGGAAAUAAAUCGCUUGGCAAUGUCGAGACCGAGGGACAGUACUUCUGGACAGAUGCUGUGUAUCCUGGGUUUUUGUUUUCCCUGAACUAUUUGGACAGAACUGAGCGCACCAGCUUUUUUUAACUGACUGAAAUAUAAAGCAGUAGAGGUAAUACAGAAAAAGGUAUGUGGCCAAUCUAAAACAGGCAGUGGCAAAAGUUAUGAUUCCCUAUGGCAUUGAGCUGCCCUUAAAAAGUUCAGGUAACAUAGUGUAAACCUUAUUUGCAAUUUAAAGAUUCUCACUAUAAAGUUGCUAUGACUUUGCCCUGGUUUAAAGCCGUAGGACAGGCCCCAGAUUUUCUCCGUAUCAGCCUUCCUCUGUGUGUCUGUGCGAUGGAGCGGUGCUGGUCCUUCUCUCUGGAAGCUGGGACUGUACCUAGAUCACACCGGGCUGCUUUGCUGGGCUCAUGUACCAGUAAAGGUUUGGUGGUGGCACUGAUAACUAGUCUUCUCUUCCACAUGAAAUGGUCAUUCAAAUGUUAGAUUUUGUUUAUUAUCCCCAGUUUGUCAAAAUGUGUGUGUGUGAUUAACAUUCAUUUACUGGGAUUUCACAAAAUGUGUGUAAGUCACACUGUGCUUUAUGGGCAUACAGUCUGCUUCUACUGCAUAUGGUCUACAAAUGCCAAAUAAGGGGUUGCUAUCACUUUUAACCAACUUUGGAGAGAAACGUGGCCCAAGGUACAUAGGGAAAGCUGUCUCUUUUUUCUGACCUAUCUUAAUGCCAAGCACAAAGGGUGAGAAAUGCAGAGCCUUGUGCAGUCGUGGCAAGGGCAAACAAACACAGCCCACAGCUUAGAAAUGUCACAAAUAUGCAAUAAACUGACUCUCUCCAAGGAAUAGUCACUACCACUCCUAGUGGGAGACUCCUAAAUACUGGGAUCUUUUCUGGGUAUGGUUGCUUCCAAAAAGAGAAUGCUGAACAGUGCGUUUUGAUGCCUUGAUUGAAUAUCUAUAUAAAACCUCAGAAUUUGUCCAUUUGUCCCUUGGAUGAUUUUCCCUCCAAAAAUCUUCAGUUGUCAGAGCGUACUUAGAUUUGUUCAUGCUCCCGUGCCGCAAAAGGUUAGAUUUCAGAUUCAGGUGGGAUGUUCAGUGACAGCUGAAAAUAAGAAAUGGAUAUUGUAGCCCUCAAAUAAAAUUCUUUCUUAUCAUUUACACCGUAAAUAUUAAUAACUGUGAUAUGAGUUACAUUUAAUGUCCAGUCACACUCCAGUAAGUGCCUGGCCUAAUAUCAGAGAAUUGAAUGCAUUGUGCAGAGUCUUAACUGGCACUAUUAGACCUUGUACUAAUCUUUGAAAUCAGUCAAGAUUUUUUUGAACUUUUGCUCAUUUUUUGAGGUAUAUAAACACCAGAAGAUGCAGUCAUUUGCAUUACUGAUUACUGUUUUUUUCCCAGAAUUUUCAGCUUUGAUCAAUUUUAGUUGCUUUUAAAAUCUUCAGUUUGGAAGACUUCACAUAUAUUUUAUGGAAUAAUAUUGUUUUAAACAGUAGUUUAAAGCAUUAUAGCUGAAAUAUCAAGAUAACCUGUUAAUAUACACAAAAUUCCUAAAAAAGUUGUACAUGUUACAGAAUUUAGAGAAAUUAGCUAUUUGUUCUAAGCAGGUAUUGUAGUAUGUGUGUACUGUAUUUGCACUGACAUUAAAUGCAGACACUAUGAAGACAAAAUUCUUCUAGCCCAAUGAUAGCAAUUUGUUGAACGUUUUCCAGCGCUAAACUAAGAAACCACUCUUUAAAGUUAUUUCUAAAAUAUGUAAACAAUAGAGGUUUCUCCCAGUCUUUGCAGUUCCUUGUCCAGUUUGUGAAAUAUGUGCAAUUAGAGGAAGAAAUGGAUGGGCGGAAGAUCUGAUUUAUUGCCCUCUUUAUAGUUUUGGAUAUUAUGACUGAGGUACAUAAAUACUGAAUGACUCACUGAAGUAUGAUCUAAAUUUUAUACAUCAAUGCAACAGAUUCCAACUGUUUUAGUUAAAACUGAUUAAUUUUUUAGAGGCCAUUCUGUCAUGUCUAGCUGCAUAAUGACCAGAUCUUUUUAGUGACGUUCUUAAACUCAGGUAUGUACAUUUUGUCUUAAUGCCUAAAUUUAGAAAUAUGUAUUUGAAAAAGAUGGUCUUGAUAUAAGAUGCCAUGGGUUAUGCAUAGUGUUUUUCAGAGAAUGACCAAACAUUAAAUCACCUAUUUCAUAACACUUCAGAGUAAGCUUGUUCUCUAAAGUGAAAGCUGUAUCACCUGA